rnacentral:misc_RNA from 1 species
CGAUUUGUUUGAUUUCGAUCAAACUUCUCUGUGUCCAGGGCAAUGGAGGUGUGUAUCACCAUACCAUGCCCUCCCCCUUCGACCUUUCUGCCUCUUGGGCUCCUGCCUCUUUCCACCCGCUGCCUCUUCUACCUCCCACACACCCACCUCUUCAUCUGCG